UGAAGCUCUCAAUUUACCGGUCGAUCUACGUCCCAACCCUCAUCUAUGGUCACGAGCUAUGGGUCGUGACCGAAAGAACGAGAUCCCGGAUACAAGCGGCUGAAAUGAGUUUUCUCCGCAGGGUGUCCGGGCUCUCCCUUAGAGAUAAGGUGAGAAGCUCAGUCAUCCGGGAGGGGCUCAGAGUCGAGCCGCUUCUCCUCCACAUCGAGAGGAGCCAGAUGAGGUGGCUUGGGCAUCUGAUUCGGAUGCCUCCUGAACGCCUCCCCGGUGAGGUGUUCCGGGCAUGUCCCACCGGGAGGAGACCCCGAGGACG